GAUGAACGCUGGCGGCGUGCUUAACACAUGCAAGUCGAACGGUGAACGAGGGAGCUUGCUCCCUCCGGAUCAGUGGCGAACGGGUGAGUAACACGUGAGCAAUCUGCCCCGAACUCUGGGAUAAGCGCUGGAAACGGCGUCUAAUACCGGAUACGACGCGCGAAGGCAUCUUCUGCGCGUGGAAAGAAUUUCGGUUCGGGAUGAGCUCGCGGCCUAUCAGCUAGUUGGUGAGGUAACGGCUCACCAAGGCGACGACGGGUAGCCGGCCUGAGAGGGGAACCGGCCACACUGGGACUGAGACACGGCCCAGACUCCUACGGGAGGCAGCAGUGGGGAAUAUUGCACAAUGGGCGCAAGCCUGAUGCAGCAACGCCGCGUGAGGGACGACGGCCUUCGGGUUGUAAACCUCUUUUAGUAGGGAAGAAGCGAAAGUGACGGUACCUGCAGAAAAAGCACCGGCUAACUACGUGCCAGCCGCCGCGGUAAAAC
rnacentral:rRNA from 1 species